GAAUGGAUUAAGAGCUUGCUCUUAUGAAGUUAGCGGCGGACGGGUGAGUAACACGUGGGUAACCUGCCCAUAAGACUGGGAUAACUCCGGGAAACCGGGGCUAAUACCGGAUAAUAUUUUGAACCGCAUGGUUCGAAAUUGAAAGGCGGCUUCGGCUGUCACUUAUGGAUGGACCCGCGUCGCAUUAGCUAGUUGGUGAGGUAACGGCUCACCAAGGCAACGAUGCGUAGCCGACCUGAGAGGGUGAUCGGCCACACUGGGACUGAGACACGGCCCAGACUCCUACGGGAGGCAGCAGUAGGGAAUCUUCCGCAAUGGACGAAAGUCUGACGGAGCAACGCCGCGUGAGUGAUGAAGGCUUUCGGGUCGUAAAACUCUGUUGUUAGGGAAGAACAAGUGCUAGUUGAAUAAGCUGGCACCUUGACGGUACCUAACCAGAAAGCCACGGCUAACUACGUGCCAGCAGCCGCGGUAAUACGUAGGUGGCAAGCGUUAUCCGGAAUUAUUGGGCGUAAAGCGCGCGCAGGUGGUUUCUUAAGUCUGAUGUGAAAGCCCACGGCUCAACCGUGGAGGGUCAUUGGAAACUGGGAGACUUGAGUGCAGAAGAGGAAAGUGGAAUUCCAUGUGUAGCGGUGAA
rnacentral:rRNA from 1 species